UACAGAGACUGCAAGCGUUAUUCGGAUUCACUGGGCGUAAAGGGUGCGCAGGCGGCCAAGUGUGUCAGGUGUGAAAUCCCGAGGCUUAACCUCGGAACUGCGCCUGAAACUACUUGGCUAGAGUACUGGAGAGGGUAACGGAAUUCACGGUGUAGCAGUGAAAUGCGUAAAUAUCGUGAGGAACACCAGAGGCGAAGGCGGUUACCUGGACAGUUACUGACGCUCAGGCACGAAAGCGUGGGGAGCAAAAGGG
rnacentral:rRNA from 1 species